GUCCCUUCAGGGACAUCCGAUAAAAUUGGAACGAUACAGAGAAAAUUAGCAUGAUCCCUGCGCAAGGAUGAUAAGCAUAAAUCGAGAUAUGGUAAGAUACUAG